UACGCCUGCAUGAGGCAGGGGCCUGCUCAUACCCUUCCUCCUUGCCCCUAAAAAAAUCUAAGAAGAAGAAAAAAACACCUUUCUCCUCCAGCCGUUGCCGGCGGCGCCCCAUCCGCGGCGAAGUCGCCGGUGAGCUGGGCCGUCCGGAAGCAGGGCAUUGCUGCCGCCAUUCAUCCCGCCCAGUACCACAUCUUUCCACUACGCCCCAUCAGCAGGCGCGCCGCCCCUAAUCGCCGGCCUCCAGCGAGGGGAACCGCGUUGCCGACUUCGGCUUCAUCCCCUCAAUCCUCUCGUCGGCGGAGUAGGGACAAGCAUGGCAGGUCAAGGAUAACGAUGGGGAUGGGGAUGAACGUGAACCACACCAACGCCAGGCAAUUCAAUGUAUUGCAAUCUAGCUACAGUCAGACCCAGAAUCUUGAGUCAGCAACCAUCUAGGUACCUGGUGGUUGGGGACAAGCUGAAGUUGACAGCGGUUGGCAGCUGCCUGGAAGCAGCUGGAGUCCUCCUUCACUCGUCAACCCGUCCUCACUCGCCAUAACUCUGCGGUUUGCGUGCAAACGAGGGUGGGCGAAAACCUUGUGAUCUUCGCGAACAUCUCUGUUAAUUGUUAGCUGUUUACUUUUAACACAUUUUGUAGGGCCGAAUCUUAGGUUGCACGACCUUUUUGGUUGUGCCGUUGAUAGAAAUGAAUCUAGCAGCUGGUAUUAGCUGGUUGGAAUUCUAUUUCUGAGUACUGGUAUGUACCUUGUCUCUUCCAAAUUAAUUGUAGUUCUAGUUUGUUAAUUUUUUAGCCUGGUACCACUGUCAAGAAGGGAAAACCACCAUGGUUUAUUUUAAAAUUGCUAAGCAGUCAGCAUUGCAUUAACACAUGAGCAGGUUAAUUAAUUAAGAGUUCCAUUGAAUGAACUGGAUUACUGGAAUAAACAAAGACUUGACCAAGGCUAUACCAUCUAUGUGGCUGAGAUUGUCCUACUGAAUUACCCCGCCUCAUAUAUAUCACAACUGAAAGAUAUCCCAUAAUACGAGUAUUUGGCAAGCUUUGUUAUUUGUUUUAAUUCUAAGCAUGCUUGCCCUUGCUCCUGAGAUAGUCUGAGUGCAUGAAUUCGAAAGUUGGAGGACUAACCCAACACCAUUAACCUUGCUACCCAGAGAAUAGACGCCAGCUUGAUCAAGAUGAUCUUCAAGUACCCCGGGUCUGAAGAAGACUAAUCUAUCCUCUAUUUCAGUCUUUAUCACGAGUAGCUUGCCAGGAUGUCGGGGUCUCGUGGGUACUUCUGUCUUAAAUUAUAGUAUCAAAUUGUUGUUAUGUUUGUAGUUCUGUUCUAGCAGGUUCAAGCUUACUCGAUAACGCAUCUGAUGCGUGAAAGGAAUGGAUGUGAUGGACGCUGACAAAAAUGGCUCCUGCAAGAAGCAUUUCUCAAUACUCCUAUCAGCCGACCUACGUAUCUCGCUGAGAAUGAAACUAGAGUUUUCUGUGGUUCUCCCUACGAUGUCGAAAUGGCUACCGAAAGAGAUCAUACCGCAAGAAUGGUUACAUUUUAGUUCAUGCAGCAUCAGAGAUUUAUAUAUAGUACAGAAAUAUAUUUAAUGGUUGAUCUAAUGAAGCA